rnacentral:rRNA from 1 species
AGAGUUUGAUCCCGGCUCAGAAUCAACGCUGGCGGCGCGCUUAACACAUGCAAGUCGAACGAGAAAGGGGAGCAAUCCCUGAGUAAAGUGGCGUACGGGUGAGUAACACGUGGAUUAUCUACCUUUUAGUGGGGAAUACCGUUGGGAAACCGACGACAAUACCGCAUAAUCCCGAGAGGGGAAAGCAGCAAUGCGCUGAAAGAGGAGUCCGCGGUCGAUUAGCUAGUUGGUAGGGUAAAAGCCUACCAAGGCUGUGAUCGAUAGCCGGCCUGAGAGGGCACACGGCCACACUGGCACUGAAACACGGGCCAGACUCCUACGGGAGGCAGCAGUGGGGAAUCUUGCACAAUGGGGGAAACCCUGAUGCAGCGACGCCGCGUGAGCGAUGAAGCCCUUCGGGGUGUAAAGCUCUUUCGGCAGGGGCGAUAAUGACGGUACCUGCAGAAGCAGCUGCGGCUAACUACGUGCCAGCAGCCGCGGUAAUACGUAGGCAGCAAGCGUUGUUCGGAGUUACUGGGCGUAAAGGGUGCGUAGGCGGUCCUAUAAGUAUGGUGUGAAAUCUCCCGGCUUAACUGGGAGGGUGCGCUAUAGACUGUGGGACUAGAGUGUGGGAGAGGAAAGUGGAAUUCCUGGUGUAGCGGUGAAAUGCGUAGAUAUCAGGAGGAACACCGGCGGUGUAAACGGCUUUCUGGACCAUAACUGACCUGAGGCACGAAAGCGUGGGUAGCAAACAGGAUUAGAUACCCUGGUAGUCCACGCCCUAAACGAUGCAUAUUUGGUGUGGGUCAUUCAGUUGAUCCGUGCCGGAGCUAACGCGUUAAAUAUGCCGCCUGGGGAGUACAGUCGCAAGGCUGAAACUCAAAGGAAUUGACGGGGGCCCGCACAAGCGGUGGAGCAUGUGGUUUAAUUCGACGCAACGCGAAGAACCUUACCUGGGCUCGAAAUGCUAUGGACCAGCUGGUGAAAGCCGGCCUUCCCGCAAGGGACCGUAGUAUAGGUGCUGCAUGGCUGUCGUCAGCUCGUGUCGUGAGAUGUUGGGUUAAGUCCCGCAACGAGCGCAACCCUUGUCCUGUGUUGCCAUACCGAAAGGUGGAACUCGCAGGAGACCGCCAGGGAUAACCUGGAGGAAGGUGGGGAUGACGUCAAGUCCUCAUGGCCUUUAUGUCCAGGGCUACACACGUGCUACAAUGGACGGUACAAAGGGCUGCCAACCCGCGAGGGGGAGCCAAUCCC